UGUUUGAUGUUCUAACGUGGACCCGUGAUCCGGGUUGCGGACAGUGUCUGGUGGGUAGUUUGACUGGGGCGGUCUCCUCCUAAAGAGUAACGGAGGAGCACGAAGGUUGGCUAAUCCUGGUCGGACAUCAGGAGGUUAGUGCAAUGGCAUAAGCCAGCUUGACUGCGAGCGUGACGGCGCGAGCAGGUGCGAAAGCAGGUCAUAGUGAUCCGGUGGUUCUGAAUGGAAGGGCCAUCGCUCAACGGAUAAAAGGUACUCCGGGGAUAACAGGCUGAUACCGCCCAAGAGUUCAUAUCGACGGCGGUGUUUGGCACCUCGAUGUCGGCUCAUCACAUCCUGGGGCUGAAGUAGGUCCCAAGGGUAUGGCUGUUCGCCAUUUAAAGUGGUACGCGAGCUGGGUUUAGAACGUCGUGAGACAGUUCGGUCCCUAUCUGCCGUGGGCGCUGGAGAACUGAGGGGGGCUGCUCCUAGUACGAGAGGACCGGAGUGGACGCAUCACUGGUGUUCGGGUUGUCAUGCCAAUGGCACUGCCCGGUAGCUAAAUGCGGAAGAGAUAAGUGCUGAAAGCAUCUAAGCACGAAACUUGCCCCGAGAUGAGUUCUCCCUGACCCUUUAAGGGUCCUGAAGGAACGUUGAAGACGACGACGUUGAUAGGCCGGGU
rnacentral:rRNA from 1 species